UAUGCAACAAGAACAAGCACAAUGUAAAGCAUCACUAGCUGAGAGCAAACAAGAAAUAGAAUUAUUACAAGAGAAGAUAACAACAAUGAACUUACAACAAAUUGAAAAAGAUAAACAAGUGCAAGAAAAAGAACAAGUGUUACUAUUAAAAAUUAAAAACUUG